rnacentral:rRNA from 1 species
ACUCCUAGGGAGGCAGCAGUAAGGAAUAUUGCGCAAUGGGCGAAAGCCUGACGCAGCGACGCCGCGUGGGGAUGAAGGUCUUCGGAUUGUAAACCCUUCGUCAGGGAAGGAUGGGCGGGCAAGCCGCUCGGACGGUACCUGCAGAAGCAGCCACGGCUAACUUCGUGCCAGGCAGCCGCGGUAAUACGAAGGUGGCAAGCGUUGUUCGGAUUUACUGGGCGUACAGGGAGCGUAGGCGGUUAGGUAAGCCCUUCGUGAAAUCUCCGGGCCUAA